CGCAGCCGCGGUAAUUCCAGCUCCAAUAGCGUAUAUUAAAGUUGUUGCAGUUAAAAAGCUCGUAGUUGAAUUUCGGGAUCAAUAUGUUGGUCGUGCCUCGGUACGUACUAGCUUAUUGGUUUCUCCUUUCUGAAGAACCAUGAUGUCAUUUAUUUGGUGUCGUGGGGAAUCAGGACUGUUACUUUGAAAAAAUUAGAGUGUUUAAAGCAGGCUCACGCUUGAAUACAUUAGCAUGGAAUAAUGAAAUAGGACGUUUGAUUCUAUUUUGUUGGUUUCUAGGAUCGACGUAAUGAUUAAUAGGGAUAGUUGGGGGCAUUAGUAUUCAAUUGUCAGAGGUGAAAUUCUUGGAUUUAUUGAAGACUAACUACUGCGAAAGCAUUUGCCAAGGAUGUUUUCAUUAAUCAAGAACGAAAGUUAGGGGAUCGAAGACGAUCAGAUACCGUCGUAGUCUUAACCAUAAACUAUGCCGACUAGGGAUCGGAUGAUGUU
rnacentral:misc_RNA from 1 species